ensembl:snRNA U6 U6 spliceosomal RNA
GUGCUCACUUCCUCAGCACAUGUACUAAAAUUGGAGCGAUACAGAGAAGCUUAACAUGGCCCCUGCACGUGGAUGACAUGCAAGUUCAUGAAGCAUUCCAUAUUUUA